GACGAACGCUGGCGGCGUGCUUAACACAUGCAAGUCGAACGGAAAGGCCCCCACUUUUUUGGUGGGGGUGCUCGAGUGGCGAACGGGUGAGUAACACGUGGGUGAUCUGCCCUGUACUUCGGGAUAAGCUUGGGAAACUGGGUCUAAUACCGGAUAGGACCAUGGUUUAGUGUCUCAUGGUGGAAAAAUUAUUGUUUUGGUGCAGGAUGAGCUCGCGGCCUAUCAGCUUGUUGGUGGGGUAAUGGCCUACCAAGGCGUCGACGGGUAGCCGGCCUGAGAGGGUGGACGGCCACAUUGGGACUGAGAUACGGCCCAGACUCCUACGGGAGGCAGCAGUGGGGAAUAUUGCACAAUGGGCGCAAGCCUGAUGCAGCGACGCCGCGUGGGGGAUGUCGGCCUUCGGGUUGUAAACUCCUUUCGUUAGGGACGAAGCCGCACCUUUUUUGGGUGUGGUGACGGUACCUUUGUUAAGAAGCACCGGCUAACUACGUG
rnacentral:rRNA from 1 species